UACGUAGGGGCCGAGCGUUGUCCGGAAUUACUGGGCGUAAAGCGCGCGCAGGCGGCUCGUCAAGCCUGACGUGAAAGCUCCCGGCUCAACCGGGGAGGGUCGUCGGGGACUGGCGAGCUUGAGGUCGGCAGGGGCUGGUGGAAUUCCCGGUGUAGUGGUGAAAUGCGUAGAGAUCGGGAGGAACACCGGUGGCGAAGGCGGAUCUCUGGGCCUUGCCUGACGCUGAGGCGCGAAAGCUAGGGGAGCGAACAGG
rnacentral:rRNA from 1 species